rnacentral:rRNA from 1 species
UUAGUUGAACCUUGGGCCUGGCUGGCCGGUCCGCCUCACCGCGUGCACUGGUUCGGCCGGGCCUUUCCCUCUGGGGAGCCCUAUGCCCUUCACUGGGUGUAGUGGGGAACCAGGACUUUUACUGUGAAAAAAUUAGAGUGUUCAAAGCAGGCCUAUGCUCGAAUACAUCAGCAUGGAAUAAUAGAAUAGGACGUGUGGUUCUAUUUUGUUGGUUUCUAGGACCGCCGUAAUGAUUAAUAGGGACAGUCGGGGGCAUCAGUAUUCAAUUGUCAGAGGUGAAAUUCUUGGAUUUAUUGAAGACUAACUACUGCGAAAGCAUUUGCCAAGGAUGUUUUCAUUAAUCAGGAACGAAAGUUAGGGGAUCGAAGACGAUCAGAUACCGUCGUAGUCUUAACCAUAAACUAUGCCGACUAGGGAUCGGACGAUGUUAUUUUUUGACUCGUUCGGCACCUUACGAGAAAUCAAAGUUUUUGGGUUCUGGGGGGAGUAUGGUCGCAAGGCUGAAACUUAA